AUGUGUUUACGAUACUACACAAAGAACCGAUUUUACACGAGGUGGUCUUAGCACUGAGAAUGAGAUGUGUCUAGCUUUCAUUCUGAUUUAUCCACGAAUAACAUUAAAAAGUUGUACCAGUGAUGCAGAGUAUGACAAGGCUCUAAUCAAGUAUAUCAAUCUAUCUAUCUAUCUAUCUAUCUGUCUACCUAUCUAUCUUCACACUCACAUUCAUACAUAAUUAUACUUCCAUACAUACUUAGCCAUCCCCCUACACAUUUACAUGCAUGCACACAUACAAACGUGUGCAUAUAUUUAUCCUCCCAUUUAUCUGCUAUCGAUCUUUAAGUCCUCAUAUAUAUGUCUAUUUGUGUACAGCUGUGUUUGUGUAUGUGCGUGCGUGUGUGCGUGACUCAGAUUUCACUAAACCACGAUCUUCUAGUAAGAAGUGUUUCUCUUCUGGUCUUCAUAUUCAUUUCAUAUACAUUGGAGUGUUCAUUAAUCUAUGGUUAUCAAAUCCAUUCGUUGGUGGCCAAUAGUAUUUUGUGAUAUUUUUUAAUGUUAUUAUUCAUGCUACACGUUGACUUUAAAUUCAAAACGUUAUUUGUACUAUGCUGUCAUUGUGCAGUCGCCACUGGACUUUGUUAUCUGUCAUGCGUAGUAGAGUGGCGGUAUUGUGACCUGUGGAGCUCUUGAUGCUAUCAGACUAGGAUUUUCUCUAUCUACCUCUCUUUCGUUCUCCCCCAACUGUUCUGUGGAGGAUGGUUUGGGGCAGGGAGUUGUGGCGAAAUACCUGGACGUAGUAGGUAAGCUGUCGUCAUUUUACCUGCGUAAGGAUUGGUUGCUGUUUGCCAACGCAUUUUCUGGGUUGCUUGCUGUUUAAUAAAACUGUUCGUUUUGUGUUCUGAAACAUUUGUGCUAAAAUGUAUGGAUUUUUUUCACUUCAUACCAUAUAUAUAUAUAUCUGGAUGUACAGUUAUGCAAGUUAGAAAUAAUAUAAUCUUUACUAUAUAUAUAUAUAUAUAAGAGAAAAAAUAAGUUAAAAUAAAACAAUUCAAAGUUUUUAAGGAGUCCAAAAGGAGACAAAAUAAUUUCCAAUAAAAAUUCAUCAUAUUCAUAAAAAUCAGCUGGAGCAGCAAGUAGUAAGAAUAUGAAAAUAACAAUUGAAAAAGUUCGUUACAGGUAUAAAGAUACAGAAACAAGUAUAAAAAUGGAGAAAAAUGUUAAAAUCAAAAUUGGAUUUAAUACAUACGAAUGUUUCAAAAGACAAUACGAAUGUCUUUUGAAUGUAUUGUCAUUCUCAUCAGAGUGAAGAAUUUAAGGAAGAACAUCAAAAAAGUUAUUAAUAAAAGUCAAUAAGGAAAAACAGAUGAGGUAAUAGGAAAAAUUCAACCGGAUAUUUACAAAUAGGUUGUAAAAGGAAAAAUAAGACAAACGAAAAAGAAUGUGUAUGCAAGUCUAUCAUUAUUAUAAACGAACGCCGUCACCACUGAUGUCUUUUUCACACUCUCUCUUUCCCUCUCACACUCUCACUUUCUCUCUCAUUCUCUCUCACACUCUCUCCCUCCCUCUCUCUUACAUCCUCUCUGUCCUCAUCUCUCUCUCUCUCGCUUUGCCACUUCAAAGAAAUAAGUGUGACGCACACAACAGGUACGUACUAAAACAAAAAGUUAGCGUAUUAAUAUUAUUGAUUAAUAUACCUGUUAUGCUUAUUGAUCUAAUCACAGCCUUGCUUCGUAUCUAAAAAACAAUCCAAUUGGUCUACUCCGUAAACAGCUGUCUUUUACAACAAUAUGUUCAGUAUAGCACAAACGGAAACGCUAACUUGAAGUAUCAAUUCAGUUAUAAAUGCUAGAAUAUUUUGCUUUUGUUUAUUGAUUUUGUAAUAAUUUAAAUAUAAGGAAACGAAAAAAAGAUAUCUGUUUCAGUAUGAACCCACUGCAAUAUAAAAAUAACCAGGAAGCCGUUAAAAAAAUGGAAUUAAUAGUCAACGGUUUGGAGCCUGAAUUAGGUUUUACACAGUCAUGUUAUGAGAAGUUAAGUAAGGUUAAAUUUAAGAAUCGACCAUUCCCAGUAAU